GGCAUACACGUGCCGAGACACGGAGAUAAACGGGAGGGUGAGGGACGCCGGCGGGCUCAGCGCUGCGGGCAUCCGAGGGGUGCGGGACACCGGGGCUCUUCCUCGACUCCCAAAUUCCCCCCCGCUUCUGGGGCAUCGCUGAGCCCCCCCCCGCCCAGGGGGACCGCCGUGGGGACCGCACCCCGGGCAGCCCCGAUUGCUGCCCCGCGUCCGAAGGUGGGAGAAGGAGAUUUUGUUCGGCGGCGCCUGGAAAUAAAAAUCGCCCCGAACUUCUGCCGGCGGCUGAAAAUGGGGAUAGAACGCAGCGAAAGGAGGGGAAAUAAAAAGAGAAAAAGGAAGGAAAAGGAGGAGAGAGGCAGAGGAAGAGAAGAAAAAGAGAGGUACGGAGAGAUGGCGAGGAGGAUCGGGGCAUUCACCUCUGCUGCUCGCAGCGCGCUGCUCCGCCGGGAGCGGGACUGGGAGGAAUGGGAUUGACUCAGACUGGGACUCUGUUCAAGGACUCCUGCUCACUGUGACUUUGCAAGUCCCUCUGUCCCAGACAAGCCAUAGGAGAAGCACCUGCUCUUGCCCUGAGUAAAACGUAGUGUUGGUUCAGACCGUCACCCAUGGUUCCUCGUUUCUGUUUAUACUCAUCAGUAAAUCUUUUUGAGGAAAGUCAACCUUUAAAAUAUUUUUCCAUUAACACUCCCCAUAGAAAGCAACCCAGAAGAAAAAUUAAAUGGUCACUGUGAAACCAUCUCUGAAAGCAAGCAAACGGAGGUUGUCAGAGGUGAUGGCAACCCAAAAAGGAGCAAUGCUUUGGGAAGAAACUUCUGGAAGGCCCAGCUGCGAGCAAGCCAGAGCUCCAAACAAGUCAUGCGUGCUCCUGGAGCUCAGGUGGUGCCCUUAGAGGUGUCCGUGGAGCUGUCACUGGUGCUGAAAGAAGGGAAAUGAGCCAAUAAUUGGGUAAUCAGCGGCCUCUUACUUUUUAAAUGAACCUGUAGGAUUUCCCCCGGCACCCUCCCUCUCCUGUCCUCGAGCUCAUCUUUCACUCUGUCAUGCAAUUCCCCGCUGGCCAGCCACAGCCUGCCGCGCUCCCUUCCCAUUACACACAUGGCUGAGCCGGGGACGAAAGGGCUCCCAGAUUCCAGCGAGAAGGUAAUUAAUUGACUUUCCACUCUCGUUGCUAUGCGGCAAAGGUGGAAGCCGCAGCAGCCACAGUUCAUUUCUAAUCCUGGAAGAUUACUCGCAAAUGGCAUAAUUAUGGAGACAGUCAGCUGCCCGCAAUGGGGAUGCCGACUCAAUAUUGGGGUGCUUGAGGGACAAGGGAGGAUGCAGUGAGGAACCAGGAGCCACGGUGACACAUGUCCCGCUAACCCAUCAGCCAGGUGCUUGUAUCAGGGACACCAGCACUUCCCAAGGCGGUGGGUAAACCCAGAGGGAUUCUCACUCUGCCCAACUACAGUGGGUAUGGUUGCCUGCAUCACAACAGUUCAUUCACGGGCAUGCCUGGACAAGCUGCCUAAAGCAAAGCAAUAGCACAUGCUACCAACAUUUCUUAAGAGGUCAUUUCUCAGCUCAAAACAUCAAAAAGUAUUCUCUGUAGUAGUGAUGGGACAGCUCAAGAUGUUCAAAUCUCAUUUCUAGACUCGCACUGAAAACAAAUCUCCCCAGCAGCAGUGGUGGAUGACUGUACAAAAAUAAACCAAUUUUGGUGCUGAAAAAACUAUUAACCCAGGGAAUGUUUUCCUACUGAGCUUUGUAAACUUUACAGUAAAUCUGAGUAAGAGGGCAACUGUUUCAGAAACUACAAAAGAACAUCCUAUUUGAGAGCUAUGCCUUUCUCUAACGAUUUGUGACUUCGUUUUGCAAACAUCUUCACAACUCUUUUGUAAUGGUGACAAGCACAUCUGUGGUUCCCAGUCCUCCCCAUUCACUGUGCAUCUGGGGCUGCCCCCAUACUGCCAUUAAAGCCCUUUAAGCAUAAUAAUUACUGCCCAGAUUUAAAGAGGUUUGAUAAGGAAGGUUUCUUAUGGAGGCAAGGCAGGUGCCAGCAGACCCAGUGGUCUCUCAACAGUGCAGGGAGAGCAUGUCUCACUGGGACAGAUGGGUCUCAACACCUAAAGACCAUGUGGGUACAUCCACCCACAUAAGAGCCUCUCCCUGUGCUGGAACUCAGGGAAUUCACAGGAUUCCUGCAGCAAUCAGCCACUGCUUGCUGACUUCUCACUUCCCUGCAGCAUGAUGCCUGUAGCCCGCCAGGGCCCGAUGCGCUAUUUGCCUGAGAAGGUCAGAGGCAGAGCAAAUAUUUGCACUUCUUGCAUCUCAUUCAGGGCUUUAUAAGAAUUAAAGUUGUAUCUUAUGAACAAAA